rnacentral:rRNA from 1 species
GACGGGGGGUCCAAGCGUUGUUCGGAAUCAUUGGGCGUAAAGCGUGUGCAGGUGGUUUUGUAAGUUGGAUGUGAAAGCCCCGGGCUUAACCCGGGAAGUGCAUUCAAAACUGCAAAACUUGAGUAUGGAAGAGGGUCGUGGAAUUCCUGGUGUAGUGGUGAAAUACGUAGAUAUCAGGAAGAACACCGGUGGCGAAGGCGGCGACCUGGUCCUAUACUGACACUCAUACACGAAAGCGUGGGUAGCAAACAGG